CUCUGUCUGUGUGUUUGUGUAUUUUAACCUCUAGCCCCUUACCCCUAGCUCACAAACUGUAUGGUAGCACAUAGAGCGCAUACAGGCAUUGUGUGCUGCGCACCUGGUCUUGAUUUAAUUUGGGUAUUUGGAUUUUAUCUAAAAACAAGUCCAUCUCUUUUACAUUUUCCAACUUUGUCACAUAUAGGCUUUUAAACAAGACCCAAUGAUUCUCUGAAUUUCCUCAGUGUCUGUUGUUAUGGCUCCAUUUUCAUUUCUGAUCUUGUUAUUUUGCAUGUUCUCUCUCUUCCUUUUAACUAGUUUGGAUAGGGGUUCGUCAAUUUUGUUGAUUUUACUCAAAGAACUAGCACUGUUUCCUUGAUUCUUUGGAUUGUUUUCUGUGUUUCUAUUUUGUUGAUUUCAACCCUCAAUUUGAUUUUUCCAGUCUUCUCCUCCUUGGACUGAAUGGCUGCGGGACCAGGUGGGACAGAAAUCACUUUCAACAGAAGGUUCCCUUGAAUGUUGAGAAGAUCCGAGAACUCACAAAUGGAGCAAUGUGUAUUUUAGCCAACCUGAGCUUCGGGUGACCCGUGGUUAAUGCUAAGGGGACUCCGUAUAAGGAGAAAUUUGCACAAGAUCCGAGAACUCACAAAUGGAGCAAUGUGUAUUUUAGCCAACCUGAGCUUCGGGUGACCAGUGGUUAACGCUAAGGGGACUCCAUAUAAGGAGAAAUUUGCACAAGAUCCGAGAACUCACAAAUGGAGCAAUGUGUAUUUUAGCCAACCUGAGCUUCGGGUGACCAGUGGUUAACGCUAAGGGGACUCCAUAUAAGGAGAAAUUUGCACAAGAUCCGAGAACUCACAAAUGGAGCAAUGUGUAUUUUAGCCAACCUGAGCUUCGGGUGACCAGUGGUUAACGCUAAGGGGACUCCAUAUAAGGAGAAAUUUGCACAAGGAAGGACAUCUACCAGACCCACCUAGGAUAAGGGGACAGAGGGAAAACCCAACAAGCCCAGAGUGAACAAAGAAGAACAUAACUGCCCUGUGACCUUCUGCCAUGAUGUCUGAGGCCCUCAUCUGAAAAUUGUUAGUUGUUCAUCUCUGGCAUGUUCCUUUUAAAAUUCAGUGAUAAUAAAAAUGGAUUUUAUCAUAUGGCAACAACCCAUGUAAUGGAACUUGUCUAAGAAGAAUCAUAUGGUAUCGUGUAUGGAUAUAGAAUUCUGUUAACAUCUGCCACAAGUGAAUUAUGACAGUGAGAUCCUUGAUUGAAGCUACCAGUCAUCCCAAAAGAGCUUCUAACCUAUUGUCUCACCCCAGAAUAACUGAAGCUGCCUGUCACAUAGAAGCUUUUAAUUCACCAUCUUACCCAAUAAACAUGGAAGCCAUCUACCACCAGAAUACCUUUAUCAGAUCUUGAAGACGGCAUUUAUUGCAAUGAAUACUUCUUUUCCGUUUCUCUGAUUUUUCAUAUCCACCUUUAAUUUCAAAUUCUCUCACAAUUAGCCACUCUCCAUUGUCGGUCUUUAUACUUUUCAUAUGGGUGUCAGUAAGAUCAAGGUCAGCUAAAGAGCCAGCUAUGUAAAAACAUGCUCUUGCUCAUAAUAUCCUGGAUCUGGGGCUGAGAGUUAGGCUCAGGAGGAUGUGCAUUUCCUUCUCAGUUAUCAGAGGCCACACACCCAUCCUGAUAGGCAAGGACAGAGAAUGACUACCACUGAUGUUAUUCUUUAUGCUUUUCCUAAAAAGAAUUCAUCUAUUUUCUGUGUAUUGUUGUUUUGUCUGUCAGAGUGUCUGGGUACACAAUCUUUCCUUAUUGUCCACAGAAGCCAGAAAAAUGGCACUGAAUCUCCUGGAACUGUAGGAAUAGAUGGUUGUGAGCCAAGUGUAGUUGCUGAAAAUUGAACCUGGGUCCUCUGUCGUUAAGCACCCGGACUGUUCUUCCUUAGUGUUCUCUCCAGCCUUUGACAUUACCUUUAAAAGCAUUCUACUGUAAUGUUAAAAGAUUGUCAAAAGGAAUGACUCUAAAAUGUGACCAGGAUUCACACUCUUUCUUUUACUGUGACCCAGUGUUGAUCUACUUUGCAUUUCAGAAAUGUGAGUGAGGGCAGAAAAUUUCCUGCUGGAGUUACCAGUUUUAAGAUCACUUUUCUUACAGAUUUUUAAUCAUACUCAAUUUUUUAAAGAAUAGUUUAAAAAAUAUUUAAAUUUGUGAGGCUGUGUGACAUUUGUGCUAAUAAAAUGUUUCAUGUAGUAAUGAUAAUAGCUUUAAGUAAUAAUUUAAAUUCUCAUCU